rnacentral:rRNA from 1 species
CACUUGUUGCCUGAGUAACCUGCUGUUGCCCAUCCUUGGGUGGAACCUGUGUGGCAUUAGGUUGUCGUGCAGGGGAUGCCCAUCAUUUACUGUGAAAAAAUUAGAGUGUUCAAAGCAGGCUUAUGCCGUUGAAUAUAUUAGCAUGGAAUAAUGAGAUAGGACUUUUUUGCUAUUUUGUUGGUUUGCGCAAAGAGGUAAUGAUUAAUAGGGACAGUUGGGGGUAUUCGUAUUCCAUUGUCAGAGGUGAAAUUCUUGGAUUUUUGGAAGACGAAGUACUGCGAAAGCAUUUACCAAGGAUGUUUUCAUUAAUCAAGAACGAAAGUUAGGGGAUCGAAGAUGAUUAGAUACCAUCGUAGUCUUAACCAUAAACUAUGCCGACAAGGGAUUGGUUAUCUCGUUAUGUCUCCAUCAGCACCUUAUGAGAAAUCACAAGUCUUGGU